rnacentral:lncRNA from 1 species
UUGGAAAACAAACAGCUCCUACUAGCUGUCCCAAUAGAUCAUCCAUCCUGCAUGGGAAAUACCUGCCCUUGGUAGUGACCUUGGUCGACUGCUUACAGUCGUUACAAAGUCUCAAGGAUCUACCCUUCGUUUCCCACAACAACACUGGAACACUCCAGGGUAAGGUACUAGGUCGGAUAAAACCCUUAUCUACCAAGCCUCACCUCUAUUCUGACAACUCUCAACUACAGGUGCCAUCCUAUAGGGAAGGACAGAAAUGG